UGCUUAACACAUGCAAGUCGAACGAUGAUCCGGUGCUUGCACCGGGGAUUAGUGGCGAACGGGUGAGUAACACGUGAGUAACCUGCCCUUGACUCUGGGAUAAGCCUGGGAAACUGGGUCUAAUACCGGAUAUGACUCCUCAUCGCAUGGUGGGGGGUGGAAAGCUUUUGUGGUUUUGGAUGGACUCGCGGCCUAUCAGCUUGUUGGUGAGGUAAUGGCUCACCAAGGCGACGACGGGUAGCCGGCCUGAGAGGGUGACCGGCCACACUGGGACUGAGACACGGCCCAGACUCCUACGGGAGGCAGCAGUGGGGAAUAUUGCACAAUGGGCGCAAGCCUGAUGCAGCGACGCCGCGUGAGGGAUGACGGCCUUCGGGUUGUAAACCUCUUUCAGUAGGGAAGAAGCGAAAGUGACGGUACCUGCAGAAGAAGCGCCGGCUAACUACGUGCCAGCAGCCGCGGUAAUACGUAGGGCGCAAGCGUUAUCCGGAAUUAUUGGGCGUAAAGAGCUCGUAGGCGGUUUGUCGCGUCUGCCGUGAAAGUCCGGGGCUCAACUCCGGAUCUGCGGUGGGUACCGGGCAGGCUAAAGUGAUGUAAGGGAAGAACUGGNANUCCUGGUUGUAGCCGUGAAAUGCGCCAGAUAUCAAG
rnacentral:rRNA from 1 species